ACUUCUCCGUCAGGGUUACACCAUCCGCAUUCUUCUCUGGACCUUUGUGCAAUCCUUCAAGGCCCUGCCUUAUGUCUGUCUGCUGAUCGCCAUGCUCUUCUUCAUCUAUGCCAUCAUUGGGAUGCAGGUGUUUGGUAACAUUGGCAUCGACGUGGAGGACGAGGACAGUGAUGAAGAUGAGUUCCAAAUCACUGAGCACAAUAACUUCCGGACCUUCUUCCAGGCCCUCAUGCUUCUCUUCCGGAGUGCCACCGGGGAAGCUUGGCACAACAUCAUGCUUUCCUGCCUCAGCGGGAAACCGUGUGAUAAGAACUCUGGCAUCCUGACUCGAGAGUGUGGCAAUGAAUUUGCUUAUUUUUACUUUGUUUCCUUCAUCUUCCUCUGCUCGUUUCUGAUGCUGAAUCUCUUUGUCGCCGUCAUCAUGGACAACUUUGAGUACCUCACCCGAGACUCCUCCAUCCUGGGCCCCCACCACCUGGAUGAGUACGUGCGUGUCUGGGCCGAGUAUGACCCCGCAGCUUGCGGUCGGAUUCAUUAUAAGGAUAUGUACAGUUUAUUACGAGUAAUAUCUCCCCCUCUCGGCUUAGGCAAGAAAUGUCCUCAUAGGGUUGCUUGCAAGGUUUGACUUCCACUAAAACCUGCUAGCAUCCAUGGAAUGAGUGUGGCUUGGGGUUCUUCAAUAUAUAUAUUUCAUAUAUAUA
rnacentral:sRNA from 1 species